GGCCCAAUGACCUAAUGGCUAAGGCGUCAGCUUCCGGAGCUGGGGGUUAUGGGUUUAAGUCCCAUUUGGGUUG